AUUGAACGCUGGCGGCAGGCCUAACACAUGCAAGUCGAGCGGAUGAAGGGAGCUUGCUCCUGGAUUCAGCGGCGGACGGGUGAGUAAUGCCUAGGAAUCUGCCUGGUAGUGGGGGAUAACGUCCGGAAACGGGCGCUAAUACCGCAUACGUCCUGAGGGAGAAAGUGGGGGAUCUUCGGACCUCACGCUAUCAGAUGAGCCUAGGUCGGAUUAGCUAGUUGGUGGGGUAAAGGCCUACCAAGGCGACGAUCCGUAACUGGUCUGAGAGGAUGAUCAGUCACACUGGAGCUGAGACACGGUCCAGACUCCUACGGGAGGCAGCAGUGGGGAAUAUUGGACAAUGGGCGAAAGCCUGAUCCAGCCAUGCCGCGUGUGUGAAGAAGGUCUUCGGAUUGUAAAGCACUUUAAGUUGGGAGGAAGGGCAGUAAGUUAAUACCUUGCUGUUUUGACGUUACCAACAGAACAAGCACCGGCUAACUUCGUG
rnacentral:rRNA from 1 species